UUCCAGAGACUGGAGGCAUCUCUCUCCAUCUAAGACUGGCCUGCCAUGCUGCCUGCUUAGAAGGACUUUGGAAGCAAGACAGAGCAGUGUCUUCAUCAGAUACCUGACAAGGCAACGGUGGAGCCAAGGGGAGACACUGAAGAAACGCACUGAGAUGACUGCAGGACGAUAACAGUGGCAAGAAGACGGGAGGCAUGAGACAUCAAUCAACAUAUGUAAGAUGAACAUUGGUUCAUUCUGGAAAAGGCGGGACAACUCGAAGCAAAG